GACGAACCGUGCGAACGUUGUUCGGAAUCACUGGGUUUAAAGGGCGCGUAGGCGGGCUGUCAAGUCGGUGGUGAAAUCGUUCCGCUCAACGGGACAAUGGCCUUCGAUACUGGCGGUCUGGAGGGAGGUAGGGGCAUGCGGAACUUCCGGUGGAGCGGUGAAAUGCGUAGAGGUCGGAAAGAACACCAACGGCGAAAGCACUCUGCUGGGCCGACACUGACACUGAGAGACGAAAGCUAGGGGAGCGAAUGGG
rnacentral:rRNA from 1 species